rnacentral:rRNA from 1 species
UGUGGUUAAAAAGCUCGUAGUUGGAUCUCAACAGCCUUGAAGCGGUUAACUUUGUAGUUUUACUGCUUUAUAGGCUGUGCUUUUGCUGGAGGUUUAGGGGUGCUCUUGAUCGAGUGUCUCUGGAUGCCAGCAGGUUUACUUUGAAAAAAUUAGAGUGCUCAAAGCAGGCUAAAAUGCCUGAAUAUUCGUGCAUGGAAUAAUAGAAUAGGAUGUCGAUCCUAUUUUGUUGGUUUUCGGGACUCGACAUAAUGAUAAAUAGGGACAGUCGGGGGCAUUUGUAUUCAAACGACAGAGGUGAAAUUCUUGGACCGUUUGAAGACAAACUACUGCGAAAGCAUUUGCCAAGAAUGUUUUCAUUAAUCAAGAACGAAAGUUAGAGGUUCGAAGGCGAUUAGAUACCGCCCUAGUUCUAACCAUAAACGAUGCCAGCUAGCGAUCUGCCUGCGUUUUUACUGUAGACUGGGCAGGAAGCUUCCGGGAAACCAAAGCAUUUGGGUUCCAGGGGAAGUAUGGUUGCAUAGCUGAAACUUAAAGGAAUUGACGGAAGGGCACCACCAGGAGUGGAGCCUGUGGCUUAAUU